CGAGGGGAGACGCAUUCGAGUGAUCACCAGGAGCGAACUUGGCGCCCGCAGCCUUGGGCCUGGGAGAGGAGGACAAAGCCAUGAAGGAAAAGCCUCACUGAAGAAGAGGAACCUAAGAGAAGCAGGUUCUGCUCUGAUGAACUCCCAUAAAGGCAUUCCCAUAAAGGUGUGGGCCUGAGUGAUAAUCUAGAUAUGGUACAGUUGACAUCAGGUAUAUGGCGGCAGCCAGAAAUUCAACUUUGUCCAUCAGCUCUCUGCACAACAGGAAAGAUGGUGACCUUCCAGGCUUAUCUGAGGUCCAAGAGUAACAUCACAAACACAGUAACUACACCCAGCCAAAGAAAAGCAUACCUGAAUCCAAGAGAGUAUUUACACUGGCUUCAGGGAUGAGGAAAUAAAGGAGUAAGUGAUUAGGAUCAUUGUUUUCCUUUCUCUUUGGUACAAAAUAAAUGAGCUUCCUUUCUUUCAUUAAAAAUAAAUGUUUAGGCCGGGCGCGGUGGCUCACGCCUGUAAUCCCAGCACUUUGGGAAGCCGAGGCGGACGGAUCACGAGGUCAGGAGAUCGAGACCAUCCUGGCUAACACGGUGAAACCCUGACUCUACUAAAAAUACAAAAAAUUAGCCGGGCGUGGUGGCGGGCGCCUGUAGUCCCAGCUAGUCGGGGGGCUGAGGCAGGAGAAUGGCGUGAACCCGGGAGGCGGAGGUUGCAGUGAGCCGAGAUCGUGCCACUGCACUCCAG
rnacentral:lncRNA from 1 species